rnacentral:rRNA from 1 species
UACGGAGGGAGCUAGCGUUGUCCGGAAUUAUUGGGCGUAAAGCGCGCGCAGGCGGUCCUUUAAGUCUGAUGUGAAAGCCCACGGCUCAACCGUGGAAGGUCAUUGGAAACUGGAGGACUUGAGUACAGAAGAGGAAAGCGGAAUUCCACGUGUAGCGGUGAAAUGCGUAGAGAUGUGGAGGAACACCAGUGGCGAAGGCGGCUUUCUGGUCUGUAACUGACGCUGAGGCGCGAAAGCGUGGGGAGCAAACAGG